rnacentral:rRNA from 1 species
CCUACGGGAGGCAGCAGUGGGGGAUAUUGGACAAUGGGGGGAACCCUGAUCCAGCGACGCCGCGUGAGUGAAGAAGUAUUUCGGUAUGUAAAGCUCUGUCAGCAGGGAAGAAAGAAAUGACGGUACCUGACCAAGAAGCCCCGGCUAACUACGUGCCAGCAGCCGCGGUAAUACGUAGGGGGCAAGCGUUAUCCGGAAUUACUGGGUGUAAAGGGAGCGUAGGCGGUUAAGGAAGUCUGGAGUGAAAGGCCGGGGCUCAACCCCGGGACUGCUCUGGAAACUAUUUAACUUGAGUGCAGGAGAGGUAAGCGGAAUUCCUAGUGUAGCGGUGAAAUGCGUAGAUAUUAGGAGGAACACCAGUGGCGAAGGCGGCUUACUAAACUGCCACUGACAUUGAUGCUCGAAAGUGUGGGUAUCAAACAGGAUUAGAUACCCUUGUAGUC